rnacentral:rRNA from 1 species
AUUGAACGCUGGCGGCAGGCCUAAUACAUGAAAGUCGAGCGGAGCGGCGGACGGGUGAGUAUUGCCUAGGAAUAUGCUUGGUAGUGCAGGAUAACGUCCGGAAACGGGCGCUAAUACCGCAUCUUAUCAGAUGAUCCUAGGUCGGAAUAGCUAGUUGGUGGGGUAAAGGACUACCAAGGCGACGAUCCAUAACUGGUCUGAGAGGAGGAUCAGUCACACGGGAACGGGGACACGGUCCAACCUCCGACGGGAGGCAGCAGUGGGGAAUAUUGGACAAGGGGCGAAAGCGGGAUCCAGCCAUGCCGCGUGUGUGAAGAAGGUCUUCGGAUUGUAAAGCACUUUAAUUUGGGGGGCGUUACCAACAGAAUAAGCACCGGCUAACUUCGUGCCAGCAGCCGCGGUAAUAC